UGCCUAACAGCUAGCCCACCCAAACAAUUUCAACAAACCCCUGUUAAUAACCCCUAAGUACCCCAGUAUUUAUUUUAAACAAACCAUUUUUCCCCCCUAGUAUAGGCGAUAGAAAAGGGCCUACGGCGCAAUAGAGAAAGUACCGCAAGGGAACGCUGAAAGAGAAGUGAAACAACCCAGUAAAGCCUAAAAAAGCAGAGAUCUAAACUCGUACCUUUUGCAUCAUGAUUUAGCAAGUGUAACCCAAGCAAAGCGUACUUUAGUUUGACGUCCCGAAACUAGGUGAGCUACUCCAAGACAGCCUAUCAAUAGGGCGUACCCGUCUCUGUGGCAAAAGAGUGGGGAGAGCUUUGAGUAGAGGUGACAAACCUACCGAACCUAGUUAUAGCUGGUUGUCCAAGAAAUGAAUAGAAGUUCAGCCUUUCAGCUUCUCUUUUCACCUUAGCCUGACCCCUAUUGAUGUAUUAAAGAAACCGAAAGAGUUAGUCAAAGGGGGUACAGCUCCUUUGAAUCAAGACACAACUUUCCCAGGAGGGUAAAGAUCAUAAUAAUUAAAGCUAAAUGUUCUGGUGGGCCUAAAAGCAGCCAUCCCCUUAGAAAGCGUUAAAGCUCAGACAUGCGACCAUACUUCUUAUCCUGAUCACCCAAUCUUAUCCCCCUAACCAUACUGGACCAUCCCAUGCCAACAUGGGAGUGACUAUGCUGAAAUGAGUAAUAAGAGAGCUAUCGGCUCUCUCCCUGCACACAUGUACAUCGGAACGGACAACCCACCGAACCUUAACGGCCCCAAAUAAAGAGGGCAGUGGAUGUUAGACCAAAAAACUAGAAAACUAUCCAAAAACCAACCGUUAAACCCACACAGGUGUGCCCCCAGGGAAAGACUAAA
rnacentral:rRNA from 1 species